CAACAACUGAAAGGAGGUGGUCGAAUGUCUCAUUGUCUCACGCCGCUCAAGGCUCACUCGAUGAACGCGGCCUCCACCAAGGUGGUCGUCGCCUGACGAAGGCCCUGAACGGCUGACAAUGGAAAGGCCGUCCUCGCAAGAGGGCGGCCUU
rnacentral:sRNA from 1 species